rnacentral:misc_RNA from 1 species
GGCAAGAAUAAGAAGCAGCUUUAUCACAAGAAUUACAAGUAUGGUAAAGGCAACAAAAAGAAGAAAGGGAAAUAUCAAUUUUUUAAAAGAAAAUUCAAAACAAGCAAAUCAUCCAAAUCGGAUUGAUGCUACAUCUAUGAAAAGAAAGGGCAUUUUGUAAAAAAUUGCCCUUAGAAUCCUAAAAAGGCUGCCUAAUUAAUCCAACAGAUAUGUCAAAGCUCCGACAUUGACGUGGAAGAUGCUGAUAUUGAAUCAUUGUUUUAAGAACAACGUGAAGCAAACUAGGACACAGUCUUUGCUUUAGAAGAUUUUUCCUCAACAAAUGAUAGCUCUGAUUCAUUCAGCAUAGACGAAGAAGAUGAACUCCACUUCUUCAGCAUUAAUGCCUUGCAAUUAUGCUCUUCAGCUCAUGAUGAAAAGGUCGCCCUACUUCUCCUUAAUUAUAUCAUAUUCAUACUCUCCUCUUUGAGAACUUUGUAGGCUCUGAUACCAUGAUUGGCCAGGAGCCCCUUAAUCUAACUUUAAUACCACAAUGCUCGUGCGAUGCCAAAGUCACAAUACACCAUCCAUGGCUAAAAAUAGACCUCAAGUGCCUUUUUACAUUAUGAUAUUAAAAUUAAACUAAAAGGACCAUAGCAUAAUGGAUCUUCAAACUUAAUAUUUUCUGAUGCACAGAAUCCUCUAUAAGAUGCAAAUACAGAGCAUACUCAUGUCUUAGUAGAGGAUUACCUGAACAUGAUAUACACCAGGAUUUUCAGGAGAAGAGAAAGGUUUUAGAAAGCCAUAGAGAGAUAUAAAG